UACGUAGGUGGCAAGCGUUGUCCGGAUUUAUUGGGUUUAAAGGGUGCGUAGGCGGCUUUUUAAGUCCGUUGUGAAAGCCCUGGGCUCAGCCUGGGAAUGGCAGUGGAUACUGGAAAGCUAGAGUGCGGUAGAGGGUAGUGGAAUUCCCGGUGUAGCAGUGAAAUGCGUAGAGAUCGGGAGGAACACCAGUGGCGAAGGCGGCUACCUGGACCAGCACUGACACUGAGGCACGAAAGCGUGGGGGGCAAACAGG
rnacentral:rRNA from 1 species